rnacentral:piRNA from 1 species
UGAAAGCGAGCUGUAAAGCUUCCAGCGC